rnacentral:rRNA from 1 species
GACGAACGCUGGCGGCGUGCUUAACACAUGCAAGUCGAACGGAAAGGCCUGCUUUCCCUUGUGGAUUGCGGGUACUCGAGUGGCGAACGGGUGAGUAACACGUGAGUGAUCUGCCCCCAACUUGGGUAUAAGCCUGGGAAACUGGGUCUAAUUCCCGAUAGGACUGCAGGGUGGUGCCGGUGGUGGAAAACGAUUUUCUAGUGGUUGGGGAUGAGCUCGCGGCCUAUCAGCUUGUUGGUGGGGUAAUGGCCUACCAAGGCGGCGACGGGUAGCCGGCCUGAGAGGGUGGACGGCCGCAUUGGGACUGGGAUACGGCCCAGACUCCUACGGGAGGCAGCAGUGGGGAAUAUUGCACCAUGGGCGGAAGCCUGAUGCAGCGACGCCGCGUGGGGGAUGACGGCCUUCGGGUUGUAAACUCCUUUCGACCGCGAGGAAGCCACCUGGUUGGAAGGGUGGUGACGGUAGUGGUAGAAGAAGCACCGGCUAACUACGUG